rnacentral:rRNA from 1 species
CUACGGGCUGCUGCAGUGAGGAAUAUUGCGCAAUGGGCGAAAGCCUGACGCAGCGACGCCGCGUGGGGGAUGAAGGUCUUAGGAUUGUAAACUCCUGUUAAGUGAGAAGAAAGAACCAUCUUUAAUAGAGAUGGGUGAUGACGUUAUCACUAGAGAAAGCACCGGCUAACUUCGUGCCAGCAGCCGCGGUAAUACGAGGGGUGCAAGCGUUAUUCGGAAUAACUGGGCGUAAAGGGUGCGUAGACGGUUUACUAAGUCUCUUGUUUAAUACCCCGGCCCAACCGAGGACCAGCAGGGGAAACUAGUAUGACUAGAGGAUGGAAGAGAGAAGUGGAAUUCUCGGAGUAGCGGUAAAAUGCGUAGAUCUCGAGAGGAACACCGAUGGCGAAGGCAGCUUCUUGGUCCAUUCCUGACGUUGAGGCACGAAAGCGUGGGGAGCAAACAGGAUUAGAUACCCUCGUAGUC